rnacentral:ncRNA from 1 species
AAGGCCCCUAAAUGACUGCUCAGUGAUGAAGGAAGUAUGAGUGCAAAGACAACCAGGAGGUUUGCCUAGAAGCAACCAACCUUGAAAGAGUGUGUAAUAGCUCACUGAUCAAGCGCUCUUGCGCUGAAGAUGAACAAGACUAAGCGAUAUGCUGAAGUUGUGG